rnacentral:lncRNA from 1 species
GAUUUGAAAAUUCCCUCUGUGAGUCCAAAUGUCCCUGUUACCAGUCAGGAAGAGAAAGUUCCCAGGAUUUUCAAGCAACUCUGAACAAACAAUGGGGGCGGGCUCUCAUAGUACUUGUUUUGCAUCAGCUUACAAAUGUGCUUAGGUUGCAUUUAGACUGUGUAUUUUUAAAAGUGAAAUUCUGGCAUUUUGCAUUUAAUCCUAACUAAAGCUUUUUGAUAUAUUCACUUAAAAUGUCUUCCAAUCACCACGAUCUUGCAGCUUAGAUAUCGUCUUUGGAAAGGUUAAAUGAGUCAAUUUUCUGAAGCUAUUGUCGGCACAAGCACGUAAGUCUGUCCUGCUGGAAAAAAAGGGGGUGGGGAGGUAGGCAGUUCCAGCCAACCCACUCUUCUGUCUCCCUCCUGCGAGCCUGUGUUAGGAGGGAAAGCUGCCGCUACAGGGCUAUGUACACUUCCAUUUAAGCAUUUAAUUUAGGCGAGGAAGGCUGGACGACCUCUGUUGGUGCGGCUGCAGCCUUACAAGAAAUUUCAGCAAGAUACGGAAGGGAGAGCUCAGCCCUAGGCCGAGAGCUGCCGGGAGGGGGCGCGCCCAAGCGCACAGCAAAGACAAAGACCGGCAGCCAACGGUUGUCGGCGCUGGCGGAGGCUCCAGAGGCUGGGAGUGGAGUCCGAGGAUCGAACAGCUCCUGAAGACGGAAGGUCCCCCUCUUUCCACCUCCACAGACAACACCAAGCACACUGGAAGAAAGGACUGGCAGUGUGAACACGCAGUCUCCUUCCUAGGAGAGAGAAAUGCAAGGCCUGUUGUGAACAAGCCUGGGAUUGCCAGGAUCCUAGGACCUUUAAGAAGGCACCAAAAUGUAUCAGCUAUGGAUGAAGAAGGGGACUCAGGGUCCCAGCCCAACCCCGGGGCCUCCACACCCUUGGACUCCAGCCCUAGGUUCUCAGAGGCACUGCAGCAGUCAGUUCCAAGCCUUGUGUACCCCUCCCCACCAUGCUGUCAUCCCCAGUCAGGACUCAGUUUAGUUUACCUGCUGGGCUCCCACAUUUGACCUCUAUUUCCACAAGGCUCUUCCCUCCCCCUCCGAACUCACAACCCUUUGACCUCUCUCCAUUCUUAUUUUGCCAUUUGCCAGUGCCGAGUGACUCAUUCAGACACUCAGCAACACACGUUGAUUGACCACCUGCUGUAUGCAGAACAGUCUAAAGCCCUGGCUGCAUAAGGGUCUCCAUGGCAAAGGCCCCUCACAAACUCACCUUCUCUAUUAACCCUCAGGGCAGGUCACAAGCCAGGCUGACAGGGUCAGGAGAACAAUGAGCUCCCUCCCACAGGUGAGUUAACAACAUGGGCCUGCAACUUUUUCUCCCCUUUUCUGCACAGGCACAUUUGCCCUUCUGCUUUUCUGUCAAGUCAUACUGCAGGAUGAAGCCCUCCCAGGAUGCUGACACUUAGGCUGAGCAAAAGAAACCCCUGUUCCUUAUUAAUCCCCUAGUCUUGGGUAGCCCGUUACAGCAACAGAAAAUGGGCUAAGACACAACAUAAAGUGGCUUUUACUUUCCCUUCAGUCUUCAGCCACACUCCCACCCAGCAGUGCUACCCAGCUCAAGGGCUUCAAUAAACAUUAUGUUGCCUUCCACCUGUUUCCUC